rnacentral:piRNA from 1 species
UGAGAUUUAUUUUUGGAGUCUCAGGGCCAA